rnacentral:sRNA from 1 species
GCUGGGCAUGGUGUCCCACGCCUGUAAUCCCAGCAGCUCCGGAGGCUGAGGCAGGAGGAUUGCGAGUUCAAAGCCAGCCUCAGCAAAAUCGAGGCACUAAACAGCUCAGUGAGACUCUGUCUCUC